CUAACCUACAGUGUGAACUGUUCCUCUAUGCUUCUUUGAAAUCUUGUUUGCUUUAACUAUGUGUAGAGCAUUUUCUUUGAACUGCAGCUCACAAAGUCUUUCAAGAAGAACAGUCAUUUCUUCAGUGAUGGUAUCCAGUCUCUUUACUAAAAAUUGCCGAAGAUGCAAUCUCACAUCAUCCCAAAGAGAUUUCAUAUCCACAGCUGAAUCAUCCUGAAUGGUAUGAAGGGAAGAUGUUAACUCAAAAGACGUCCCGCUUGCCGUACAGGGAAAUGAAACACCACACUGACUAGAGAGAUCCAGAAGGAAGUGAAGGACCAUUUCUUCUUGAUUCUUCUCAUUCUUCAGCAAGCUUUGCUAACAAAGAUAAAUCAGACAAUAUUUUAGAAAUUUUUGUUAAUUCUGGUUCAUUAAAUGAACAGCUUCAUACUUCAGUAAAAACUGUGUUUCCAAUACUAAUUAUCCUAACAGCAAUUAAUAUAUUUAAGCAACGGAAAUUAUAAAAUCCAUAGAAAACAUGAUUUAUAUGCGAAUUAAUUUUCUUAUCUACCUCUGCCAAUAAUUCACAUUCAUCUUCUCAUCUUUCUUAUAUCCCCAACUUCUUUUCUCAAUCAAUUCUAGACCCCAGUUCAAAGGAAACCCUUGGCAGCCUUUUUGUUGUCACACCACCUUUUAAAGAAAACUGUAUGUAAAAAUUACUUAAAAUUUAUACAGACAAUGACAGGUUUUUCUCAUAAAACCAAACAAUGAAUUUCUAAAAUGGUCCCUUUCUAUGGCUCAGCAGGCAAUCAUCAAAAAGACCAUUCUAAGGAUAAGAAAGUCUUCCCAGGACUCCCCCUUAAGGAACUAAAAUUGAAAACUUGUUAAGAAUUAAAAUAGCCUUAGAUCACACAGGACAGAAGAAUAAGAAGCUGUGUAUCCCAUCACACUAAGAUGCAGACUGAUAUUAGUGACCUCCAUAUACAUCUAUGCUGUAUGGGUUGGAGAAGGCAGUCAGUUAAAGCAAGUGAAACCACAUGGCUGGUGUUUCUUCUUCAUUCAAGUCUGAAGAACUCUCUCUCAAGUCCAGGGCUAGGAUCUUUGACCUUAGAGCUGCUUCAGCUUCAAGAGGUCAUGCAGCAAAUAGCAGCUCCUCUUGUAGCAGCUCAAUAUUACCAUUACAAGGAAAGUGAGUGGAAUUGGUGCUAUUCUUGAUUUUCUUAGUUUCAGUAGGAAAGUCUUAAGUGGAUGAGAAUCUAGAAGCCCUCUCACUUGCUUCUUUACCUCCCACUGCUUCUCUCCAACAGAGAAAAAGCAUUGUGGCAAACCACCUCAGAGGGGUUCAUUCCAGUCAUGUCCUUUAUCUGUGUCUCUGUCACAGUUUCAUCCCAGCCAGCAACCAAGCCCUAGUUUGCCACUUGCUCUUUCCUGUACCAGCAGAGAGUUGGAAGGGUAAAAAACAUAAAACUCAUGGGCUGAGAGACAGACAGUUUAACAGGGAAAGCAAAAGCUGAUCACACAAGCAAAGCAAACCAAGGAAUUAAUCCAUAUCUUCCACUGGCAGGCAGGUGUUCCACCAUCUCCAAGAGAGCAGGGCCCCAUCACACAUUACUGUUACUUGGGAUAACAAAGGCUGUCACUCCAGACAUACUCACCUUCUUUCUUCCCUGCACUUUAUAUACUGACCAUGAUGUCAUAUGGUCUGGAAUAUCCCUUUGGUCAGUUUGGGUUGCCUGUUCUGGCUGUGUCUCCUCCCAGCUUCCCAUGCACCCCCAACUUCCUGACCAGUGUGGCAGUAUGAACAGCAGAAAGGCUCUGUGUAAGGCCAGCUCAGCAAUAAUACAAAAAUCUCUGUAUUAUCAACUCUGUGUUCAGCAUACAUCCAAAACAGCCUUGUACUAGACACCUGAAACCAGCAGAAGUCUCCAAGUCAUACUCCAUCCUAUAAAGCAAGGCUGGUAAAGAAACCAUAGCUACCUUCCAACUUCAGCAUUACUCAUUUAUUUAACUUAUAGUAUUUGAAGAAAUUAUGAGUUUCAUUUCUCUUCCCAUUUUGAAAGAGAGGUAAAUCAAGUUUGAGUAUGAUACUGCAAAAAUAUAACUACUUCUGAAUGGCAAAUAUUAAAUUUUUCUCUUAUAUCAAGUUUUUAUCAAUAGAUAAUCAUGCUUUAGAGGCACAAAAAUUUUUAAAUUCAGAACUCCUAUUCUUUGUUCUGGAUGCUUUAAACUUGUUACAUACCUUAGAUUAGACGGCUUAACCUUUCUGGUGCCCUCUAUUCUGACCAGAGUUUCUCGACAAAAUUUAAAAAAACCCCCACUUUCACUACCGUAGCUAAUUCUGAAUAACAGACUGGGAGCAUGAUUGCCUCUUAUAACUUAAAAAAAACCAGACUACCUAUUUUUCUUCAAUUUUAGAUCUUUAUUUCAAAAUAAUUCUUAUUAAUUCAUUUUACUUACAAGCAGGAGAGAUAUGGAAGACAGAAUAGUAAAGGAAAUUAUCAGUUGAAUAUCAUCCUACAAAAUUAUGUGUGGGUAAUAAAAGUAUGCACAACUGGUUCAAAUCUUAAAUCCUAUAUCUCAAAAUGCAGAUACAUAACACUGAUCCAAUUUUCUUUUAUUAUCUGCUGAACUAUUCUACCAAGUUUAGUGGCCCCAAAGAAAAUGUGUUUCAAAGUGUAAACUGAAACCCUGAUUACUAACCACUGUGCUGAAAGGUGGUCUCUUAACAAGUAAACUUCUGAACUUUAAAUGUUGGUGUUUUUAAUGAAUCAUUCUCAAAUACUACAUUCUGAAAUGUACAAAGCAAGAAAAGCUGUCAAAACAGUGCAUGCACCUGAUGCCUUCAAUGAUGAAUCCAAAUGAUCUUCCAAGAAAAUCCCUACAGCUGCUUUUUAUGGCAAAGUAGAAAUAUUUUUAUAUAUCUGAGAAUGUUUUGCAAUUUAAACUACAGCACUAAAAACAGGUGCUUGCAGAUGCUAUUUUAGACUUAAUGAUACUAGAAAGAGGACCUGAAGUAAACUUUGAAGCUCUGAAAAGUGCCAUCAAGUGUCUUCAUACAUUGCCUAUAUUGAUACAGGCUUUUUAAUUUAAAAAUUAACCUACAGAAAUAUUGCAAAAGAUUAUGCCAACACUCUUCAAGAAAAGAUCCAAAUUAGUAUCCGAAGAUUUUGGAGAAGCAUAAAAAGUUCCCUUUUGAGCAUAGCAAGUUAGUGCUUUCUGUGCUCAAUAACAAUACAGAAAAUCAGUUGCAGUUUACCAACUGGACUACUGCCUAGCAUGGACAACUACCUACCAUAUCAAUAAACAAGUAUAGCAAGACGAAGGCCUGCUUAAAAAAGCAAUCUACCAUUAUUUUAGCAGGAACAGUGUGUUAGCGCAUAUAUUCAGCUUUUAAAUACUGAGUUACAAGACAGUACACACAAUGACAAAAUUUCACAUAAUUAACAUUUUCAGGCUUCAUGAAGAAAUCCUUGGUAUUUUCAUACAAAUUUACAAAUGCAUUAUAAUAAAAAUAAACCUAAAUACUGAACCCCAGGCAAUGCCCAAGAAGUAUUUUUUACUUCUUUUAAACUGUUCCAGCACCUUAAAACAUAAAUAUUCCCAACAAAAUAAACACACAUAGCAGAUGAUAACAAUGGAAUAUUGUCCUGAAGUAAAAAGAAAGUUCCUGUUACUGAAUAUGAAUUAUAUAUACUUAAUUAAAAGCAUGCAAGAAGAAAUUAUCUAAUUACUUUAAUGAAUAGAGUUAUAUAUCUUUGAAAGGUCAGAUCAUAAUAAAAUUAAUGCUGAGUAUUACUGAAAAUAGUUUACAGCAGACCUAUUUAUGGAACUGAAGAUUAUCUGUUGUGAAUAUAACUUCUUACAAGACAGAGUGUAGUACAUUCAGUACUACAGAUACAGACAGACAGAUACACUUUACAUCUGUAAUCCUAUCUACACAACAGGCUGGAUUAUCUAAGCAGCCAUAAACCUGGAAAUAGUGAUGUGAAAGUUGCUGAGCUCCAAAGAUGCUUUCGUGAUAAACUCUGCAGAAUUGAAACUUUGAAGCUUCUCACUUUGCUGUCUGUUUAGCAGCCUGCCACAGAGCCGUUCUCAAUGCUUAACUGGAUACUACAGCUCACAGCAAGACUGUCAUGCAGUUAGUAAGCUCCUGGGAAGCUGAAGAGCUAGAAAGCACAUUAUGCGUAAGAUGGGGACAUUUUAGAGUUUUCCAAACAAAUGCCGCCAUCUGGUGUUCAGGCACAUGGCUUGGCUAGACCACGGAGAAGGAAGUAAACAGAGAAUGGACACAAGUAAGUCAUAAGUGCCAUGCCAGAUUCUGAAGGAAUUCAGUAAGGAUCUAAGUGGACUAAGAGGAAUAACAAAAGACUCCUGAAACAAGUACUUCACAGUCAGUUUUUUCUGGGAUUCUCUUAUUUAAUCUAGAUCAAGUAUGACAUGUAGCAUUCUCUGACACCCUUGAGUACGAUCAUUAACAGCAACAUUCAUACUGAUUACUUUUGUCAGAAGAGAACAAAAUCACUCUUUAUCAGAUGAACACUGAAGACCUGGUGUCUCUAAAAGUUACUUCCUCAUUUGACACAGGUCAGUAUCCAGUGAAAUCAACGGUGACUGAAAGAGUAACAAGAUUUAAAGAGUUUAAAAAAACCCCAAGAGCUCAUUUCAUUAAGCUUGUGCUCUAGCCAAGGAAAACACUUCUCUACAGAUUUCCUCCUCCAUUACAGCUAAUCUUAGCCUAAAGUUGUUCAUGAUCUACAACUAAACCAUGAUACGGAAAUUACAAAGAAUAGUCACUGGAGACUGUUUAUUUGUUUUGACCUCCUAUAUAUGUAUCAUAUCAAAUGCGCAUAUAAAAAGUUUAUAUAUGAACUUGAAGACCAUCAUUUACAGAGGGAUCAACCUUCACUAAUAUUGCCAAUUCAAUUUCUCAGACUCUCAUUUCCACACAUAUUUGAAUGAAAACUUUUAAUAAAAAUUUUGCAUAAAAAUACUCUCUAAAAUGAUGGUACUUUUCAUUGAAGUGAAAUUUGAUUUCUGGUUGCAUCUACUGGUAUAACUUGAUAGAACAAUGCAUAUAGCUCCCACGUUUACCAUUGAGAAGUGUAAAAUCAUAGAAUCAUUUGGAUUGGAAGGGACUUUCCUAAAGCUCUUUUAGUACAAUUAUCCCACAAUGAGCAGGAACAUCUUCAACCAGACAAGGCUGCUCAGAACCCAGUACAACUUGGCCUUGAACAUUUCCAAGGAAAGGACAUCUACCACCUAGUCCUCUGGCCACAUAGCAGGUGAGAGCGCAGUUUAACAAACCAAAGCAAAGUUGUAUUAUAUUAUCUGUGUCCACAUUGGAGUGUUUUUCUGGAGAAACAUUUGGAAACAAACCUGUUGCUCUUAAAUACCGUUGCCAACAAAUUCCACCAGUUCAAAGAUCUCUGCAGGAUCUUGCAGCACUGAGAAGUUGAUUUUGUCUAGGUUCUGUGUGGGGCAAUCGCUCACCCUGUUUCCACUGCCAGCAGCUGCAGGUGGUGCAUCCGCCGCAGCGCCGCUGCCAUUCAACAUCUCUCUUUGUGCAGGCACUGAGGAGGAGAAGCCCUUGUCGCUGCCCCUGCCCCUUCUGCCUGCAGCAUGGUCCCAGUGGUGGUGCCUUGCCAGCCAUGAGAAAAAACUACCCCUGUGCAGAUUUUCUUCUUAAAUGUGUCAUCACAGAGGCAUUACCAAUUUCUCUAAUUGGGCCAGCAGCAUGUCCAUCUUCAGAGCCAUCAGAGAUUGGCUCUGUGAGACAUCAUGGAAGCUUCUAGUAGCUUCUCCCAGAAGCCACUUCUGUGGGUCUCUGUUUCAAGCUCUGCACUGAAUUUCCUGCUUAGAAGUAUUAAAUAUAAGCUGUAAGUUUAGUUCUGUGGAUUACUUACAAAUGAAACGCUAGUAAUUCUUAAACCACCAAUUAGGAAAAAAAAUCCAAAUACUCAGUUUUGAUAAACAGUAAAAGUCAAAAUAAAUGUGAAAGGAAAGAAUGAAAACAAAAGGCCAACCUCAUGAAUACAAGUUCACACUUGAGAAUAACAUUGAGACCACCCCUGUACCCAAAACUGGCUAGUAAUGACGACAGUUUUGAGAGACCAUAUUCACCUGCUUCUAUGAACUGCUGCAAAAAUAAAUGUAACAUUCAAGUGUAAUAAGAGUUCUGUUACAAAAUAGUGAAUGAGUGAACCACUUACUACAUUAAAAUUUACAUAUAAAACAAUUGCACACAGAUGGCCUUUUUUGUUGUUGUUAUAGCACCAAAUAGAAUUGGUACUGUACAAAAAUACUGAAGGUAAUUCAACAGCUGAAAACCGUAUCUAAUUUGUCAUGUCACACAAUUUUAUAAAACCUAUUCAGUUAGAAGGCAAUAAAUGAGUAGUUGAAUGAUUUAUACACUCUUGCCUCAUAAUUUUUAACACAAUGUUUUAUUUUAAAAUAUAUAUAUAUGAUGUAUACUAUUAUGUUCAUUCUCUGUGGUCUAAUAAAAGCAUAAAUCUAUCUGCUGAAAAAUGGAUUGUAUUUCAAUUGUAUCACUGUAUCAUACAGAGCUGCUCUUAUCAUACCACUUAUAAAGAUCAAUGGUAACUUGAAAAUUAUUUUGUUCUACGCUACCUCUUAAUAUAUUAGCAAUAAAAGGACUUUUUUUAAUUUAAAAGUCACA